CCACCUCCACCUAGGAGUAAGGAGCUGAUAUCAGGUACUCACCCAAGACAUCUAGCCAUGCCACACCCACAAGGGCCCUCAGCAGUGAUUAACAUUAAAAAUGAACGACAGUUCGAUCUAGCCAAUGAAAACAGAGCCGGCUAAUCUGGUGCCAGCCGCCGCGGUUACACCAUGUGGCUCAAAUUGAUCUUAAUACGGCGUAAAGCGUGAUUAAAGAAAUAAAUUAUUGGGGUUAAAUUUAAGCCAAGCCGUAGUACGCUUGCUUAUAAGAAAGUCCAUUCGAAAGACACCCCAACUCACCCACUUGAACUCACGACAAUUAGGACACAAACUGGGAUUAGAUACCCCACUAUGCCUAAUCAUAAACUUUAAAUUACACCUCUAUCGCCAGGGAACUACGAGCAAAGCUUAAAACCCAAAGGACUUGACGGUGCCCCAUAACCUUCUAGAGGAGCCUGUCCUGUAACCGAUACCCCCCGUUUAACCUCACCACUUUUAGUCUUCAGCCUGUAUACUUCCGUCGCCAGCUUACCGCAUGAGCGAAUUAAGUAAGCUCAAUGUCUCCAUCAACACGUCAGGUCAAAGUGCAGCAAAUAAAGUGGCAAGAGAUGGGCUACACUCUCUAAUAUAGAAAACACGAAAGACUAUUUGAAACAAUAAUCUGAAGGCGGAUUUAGUAGUAAGAGGAAAAUAGUAUAUUCUUCUUAAUUCGGCACUGGGGUGUGUACACACCGCCCGUCACCCUCUUC
rnacentral:rRNA from 1 species